GACGAACGCUGGCGGCGUGCCUAAUACAUGCAAGUCGAGCGGAUCAUUCCUUCGGGAGUGGUUAGCGGCGGACGGGUGAGUAACACGUAGGCAACCUGCCUGUAAGACUGGGAUAACUACCGGAAACGGUAGCUAAGACCGGAUAACUGGUUUCUUCACCUGAAGAGAUCAUGAAACACGGAGCAAUCUGUGGCUUACAGAUGGGCCUGCGGCGCAUUAGCUAGUUGGUAGGGUAACGGCCUACCAAGGCGACGAUGCGUAGCCGACCUGAGAGGGUGAUCGGCCACACUGGGACUGAGACACGGCCCAGACUCCUACGGGAGGCAGCAGUAGGGAAUCUUCCGCAAUGGACGCAAGUCUGACGGAGCAACGCCGCGUGAGUGAUGAAGGUUUUCGGAUCGUAAAGCUCUGUUGCCAGGGAAGAACGCCCAGGAGAGUAACUGCUCCUGGGGUGACGGUACCUGAGAAGAAAGCCCCGGCUAACUACGUGCCAGCAGCCGCGGUAAUAC
rnacentral:rRNA from 1 species